GUGGCAUUCGGCCGUCAUAGCAGCUGCUCAUAGGCACCGCUGUGCUGCUGCAGGAUGCCCUGGUCCUGCCCAUCCCAACAUCGUCCUCACCGCAAUCGGUCACCCAGAUUGAGGCUCCAGCGGUGGAAGUAGUAGGAGCACAUUCUCCAAGCCGAUUGGGAUUCUCCAAGCCUGGUUCUCGGUGUACCAUCCUCCUGAUGUUCCGCUGGCCGAUCCUCUGUUGAAACCGUCGCCGUGAACGACCGCUCUCCCCCGCGUGCAGCAAUCUCCAGGCUCCAGGUCAAACGUGAAGCUGAAACGUCUCCUUGCGUUUCACGUUGGCCGUCCACUGCAACUCAAGUGGGGGCCCGGCUGGCCCUUCAAUCUGAUACUCGCUGCUAGGGUAACUUCAGCGUGAAUGAUGAUCCUUCAUCCAGAAAUUGCGUGCGUGCCUCGCACUCGCUUGUUCAACGCUUGCACAACCCGGGACACGACACAGGAGAAUCUCGAUCGACAAGGCUUUGUUACGUGGUUUGCGGCACAGCUUCAUCUGCGUUACAGUCUCAA